rnacentral:misc_RNA from 1 species
UGAGUUGGGAACUUGAACCAC